rnacentral:rRNA from 1 species
CGGAGGGAAACCGAGUCUUAACCGGGCGUUAAGUUGCAGGGUAUAGACCCGAAACCCGGUGAUCUAGCCAUGGGCAGGUUGAAGGUUGGGUAACACUAACUGGAGGACCGAACCGACUAAUGUUGAAAAAUUAGCGGAUGACCUGUGGCUGGGGGUGAAAGGCCAAUCAAACCGGGAGAUAGCUGGUUCUCCCCGAAAGCUAUUUAGGUAGCGCCUCGUGAAUUCAUCUCCGGGGGUAGAGCACUGUUUCGGCUAGGGGGCCAUCCCGGCUUACCAACCCGAUGCAAACUGCGAAUACCGGAGAAUGUUAUCACGGGAGACACACGGCGGGUGCUAACGUCCGUCGUGAAGAGGGAAACAACCCAGACCGCCAGCUAAGGUCCCAAAGUCAUGGUUAAGUGGGAAACGAUGUGGGAAGGCCCAGACAGCCAGGAUGUUGGCUUAGAAGCAGCCAUCAUUUAAAGAAAGCGUAAUAGCUCACUGGUCGAGUCGGCCUGCGCGGAAGAUGUAACGGGGCUAAACCAUGCACCGAAGCUGCGGCAGCGACACUGUGUGUUGUUGGGUAGGGGAGCGUUCUGUAAGCCUGUGAAGGUGUGUCGUGAGGCAUGCUGGAGGUAUCAGAAGUGCGAAUGCUGACAUAAGUAACGAUAAAGCGGGUGAAAAGCCCGCUCGCCGGAAGACCAAGGGUUCCUGUCCAACGUUAAUCGGGGCAGGGUGAGUCGACCCCUAAGGCGAGGCCGAAAGGCGUAGUCGAUGGGAAACGGGUUAAUAUUCCCGUACUUGGUGUUACUGCGAAGGGGGGACGGAGAAGGCUAUGUUGGCCGGGCGACGGUUGUCCCGGUUUAAGCGUGUAGGUGUGUGUUCCAGGUAAAUCCGGUUCACUUUAACACUGAGGCGUGACGACGAGGCACUACGGUGCUGAAGCAACAAAUGCCCUGCUUCCAGGAAAAGCCUCUAAGCAUCAGGUAACAUCAAAUCGUACCCCAAACCGACACAGGUGGUCAGGUAGAGAAUACCAAGGCGCUUGAGAGAACUCGGGUGAAGGAACUAGGCAAAAUGGUGCCGUAACUUCGGGAGAAGGCACGCUGACACGUAGGUGAAGUGAUUUACUCAUGGAGCUGAAGUCAGUCGAAGAUACCAGCUGGCUGCAACUGUUUAUUAAAAACACAGCACUGUGCAAACACGAAAGUGGACGUAUACGGUGUGACGCCUGCCCGGUGCCGGAAGGUUAAUUGAUGGGGUCAGCGCAAGCGAAGCUCCUGAUCGAAGCCCCGGUAAACGGCGGCCGUAACUAUAACGGUCCUAAGGUAGCGAAAUUCCUUGUCGGGUAAGUUCCGACCUGCACGAAUGGCGUAAUGAUGGCCAGGCUGUCUCCACCCGAGACUCAGUGAAAUUGAACUCGCUGUGAAGAUGCAGUGUACCCGCGGCAAGACGGAAAGACCCCGUGAACCUUUACUAUAGCUUGACACUGAACAUUGAGCCUUGAUGUGUAGGAUAGGUGGGAGGCUUUGAAGUGUGGACGCCAGUCUGCAUGGAGCCGACCUUGAAAUACCACCCUUUAAUGUUUGAUGUUCUAACGUGGACCCGUUACCCGGGUUGCGGACAGUGUCUGGUGGGUAGUUUGACUGGGGCGGUCUCCUCCUAAAGAGUAACGGAGGAGCACGAAGGUUGGCUAAUCCUGGUCGGACAUCAGGAGGUUAGUGCAAUGGCAUAAGCCAGCUUGACUGCGAGCGUGACGGCGCGAGCAGGUGCGAAAGCAGGUCAUAGUGAUCCGGUGGUUCUGAAUGGAAGGGCCAUCGCUCAACGGAUAAAAGGUACUCCGGGGAUAACAGGCUGAUACCGCCCAAGAGUUCAUAUCGACGGCGGUGUUUGGCACCUCGAUGUCGGCUCAUCACAUCCUGGGGCUGAAGUAGGUCCCAAGGGUAUGGCUGUUCGCCAUUUAAAGUGGUACGCGAGCUGGGUUUAGAACGUCGUGAGACAGUUCGGUCCCUAUCUGCCGUGGGCGCUGGAGAACUGAGGGGGGCUGCUCCUAGUACGAGAGGACCGGAGUGGACGCAUCACUGGUGUUCGGGUUGUCAUGCCAAUGGCACUGCCCGGUAGCUAAAUGCGGAAGAGAUAAGUGCUGAAAGCAUCUAAGCACGAAACUUGCCCCGAG